rnacentral:rRNA from 1 species
CCUACGGGUGGCAGCAGUGGGGAAUAUUGCACAAUGGGGGAAACCCUGAUGCAGCGACGCCGCGUGAGUGCAGAAGUAUUUCGGUACGUAAAGCUCUAUCAGCAGGGACGAAAAUGACGGUACCUGACUAAUAAGCACCUGCUAACUACGUGCCAGACGCCGCGGUAAUAAGUAGGGGGCAAGCAUUAUCCGGAUUUACUGGGUGUACAGGGAGCGUAGACGGCAGCGCGAGUCUGGAGUGAAAUCCCAUGGCUUAACCAUGGAAUUGCUAUGGAAACUGUGCAGCUAGAGUGCAGGAGAGGUAAGCGGAAUGGCUAGUGUAUCGGGGAAAUGGGUAGAUAUUAGGAGGAACACGAGUGUCGAAGGCGGCUUACUGGACUGUAACUGACGUUGAGGCUCGAAAGCGUGGGGAGCAAACAGGAUGAGAUACCCCUGUAGUC